UGUAUUUUUUUAAAUCCAUUUUGAAGUCGAACUUAUCUUCAAGGAAAGAGGUAUUUCAAUACUCAAGAGAAAGUCUUUGCAGAACUCCAUCCGGCACCGGAGAAAAUGGCAUCUGAAACCUCAGUGGAUUAUGACAGAACUAAAGAGUUGAAGGAAUUUGAUGACACAAAAGCUGGUGUUAAAGGACUUGUAGAUGCUGGCAUAGUUAGCAUCCCCAGGAUGUUCAUACGACCAGCUGAGGAGCUUGCUGUUGAGGAACUGAAUUCCUGCCAGACAAACAUUAAAGUUCCGAUCAUAGAUCUAAGCAAAAUCCAAGACGAUAGCCGGCGUAAGGAGAUUGUAGAUGAAGUUAGGAUUGCAUCAGCAGAGUGGGGGUUUUUCCAAGUAAUUAAUCAUGGUAUCCCUUUAAGUGUGUUGGAUGAGAUGAUUGAUGGGGUACGUAUGUUCAAUGAGCAGGAUUUGGAGUUGAAGAAAGAAUUCUAUACCCGUGAGGUCACAAAGAAAGUGAGAUUCAACUCCAACUAUGACCUAUAUACAUCACUAACUGCUGAUUGGAGAGACACUCUGAACCUUUCUUUCCUUGACUCUGACCCUGACCCUGAAGAAAUGCCAGCAGUUUGCAGGUAACCAUGCACUAAUCUAGUUUCUUAGUUUUUUAUCUGCCUGUCAGUCAAAUCUUUUUGUUAUCAUGGUAAUAUAUAUAGGAGCAUCUAUCAGUACAGAAAUUUCCCAGUAUCUCUCAAAUCAAGGCUACAGUUAUGCUGUUCAAGUGUUAUUGGAAUUGGUAUAUCCAAUCCAUCUCAUUUGUUCUGGAGCAUUUACAUAUUCUGGUUGUUUAAAUUUGCAGAAAAUCAACAUUAGAGUAUACUAAGUAUAUCAGAAGGUUAGGUGAAACUUUGUUUCAGUUGCUAUCAGAGGCUCUUGGUCUUCAAGAAGACUACCUCGGCUCAAUCGGAUGUGCUAAAGGGUGUAGCAUUGUGUGCCACUACUAUCCAGUUUGCCCCCAACCGGAACUGACUUUGGGAGUAAGGAAGCAUGCAGAUGCAGGUAUAUUGACUCUGCUUCUGCAGAACGAAAUCAGCGGCCUCCAGGUCCUUCAUGAGGGACAAUGGUUUGAUGUUCAGCCCACUCGAGGAGGCUUGGUCGUGAAUAUCGGAGAUCUUCUUCAGGUUUGAUUCAGAUACAUCUACUUUCAUGAACUUUCCUUUCCAAAUAGCUAGUAACUUUUAUGCUGUAUGGUAGAUUAUAUCAAAUGACAAGCUGAAGAGUGUCAAGCAUAGAGUAACUGCCAAUCAUGUUGGACCUAGAAUUUCUGUGCCAUGCUUUUUCUCAGGACAUGCUAGUUUACUUGACAAGCCGUUCGGCCCAAUCAAAGAGUUGAUAUCAGAGGCAAAUCCUCCUCGAUACAAAGAAGUCCGGCUAAGGGAAUAUAUUGCCAGAUUUUUUUCUAGCUCACUUGAUCACAAGCCUCCUAUAGAUUACUACAGGCUAUAAAUAUAGAUUCCCAAGAGCUAUGAAGCUAACUAUCAAUGCCAUGAAAUGAUAUUUCCAAUGGCAUUCCGAUCCAGAAGAUGGUUAAGCAUUUCAGCUUUUGUACUUUGCCAGCUUCCAUUAGUUUGUGUUGGUCAUGUCUACAUUACUUUGUUCAGUGACACCCCUUUUAUUUGCCCAAUAAAAUGCCAAGAACUGAAGAAAACUUCCAUCCAUCCACCCACCUGGACUUUGGAAAGCUUCAGUUCUAAUUUACUCUUCAACAAUACAACUCAAGAAAAGCCUCUUUGUAAGAAAAUUACAAAAGGAACUAAUUACUUUACUAUCCAAUUAUAGUUCAAAAGCUGACAGAAAAGUGUCAAAUGUGGAUGGUUCUUCCAUGUACAAGGCUCAUAAAAUAUGCUUGCAUGAAUUUAUAAUGGAGUCUAUGACUAAUGAUUAGUAGUAACAAUUUGAUGGGGGGUUUAUGACAAUACCAUGAAUUGCUCCUCUUUGACCUAAAGAGUUCCUGUUGGUAUCUGUCAGAAAAGCCAUUGGUUGAGAACUAGGAGGUAGUGGAAUCUCAGAAAAGUGGCCUGAAAUGCAGAGUGUGCCAGAAUCAUAUUGCUUCCAAUAGAUUUCAACCAUGACACCUCUAUGAUUCUUGGCUGACUCUGUCUCGGUAUUCCCGCAAACCUUUCACCUACUGGUAUCUGCAAUUAUAAUUUUUGAAAUCAAAACAUCUAAAGUCAAAUUAUUGCACUAACUUGAAGGGAAUCUCCAGUUAUUAAUGUCAGAGUGACAAGUCUUCUUUCAGCUCUAGCUUUUUCUAGCUCUGCCUGCCUAGCAAUAUCCAAGAAAACUUCUUCAAGGUUAGUAAGGCCAAGUUGAAUAUCUGCUAUACCAAACAAAUUCGAGGAGAAAGUUUAUUCCAUAACGGGUUAAUUCUGCAUGUCAAGAGCUUUUCUCUAUCAUGAGAAUGACAAAAGACAGGAAAGCUUUAUUCUCCUCCUGUGGUUCUACAUCUAGAGACAAGCCACAUGAGAAACCAACUCCUUGAAAUUUGAGAAAUCUUGAACCAGGUGAAACUAUCCAACAGACAUUUUUAAAGAACUGGUUCAAACCCUCAUGGUGGUAACUGGUAGCAACAACAUCUCCAUUUGGAGGACCCAUUCCAUUUUUGCUUCCAAGGAAGCUAAUGUUGGCAAAAUCGUGACUUCAACCUGAUUUGAGGUUCCAAUGCAGCGGAGCCUACCCUUUGCCACGUUUGCUAUGUGGUCACUUAUAAACAUCAGAUUCUUCCAUAGAGUGUGUUGUUCAGAAAAUGACACGGCCUUUCUUUGCCUCCUCUAUUAUGUCCCGUGCAUGCUUUCUUGUUAUUGGACCCAUACCAGAAGUCUGCAGUUAACAGAAAAAGAUUAAUAUACAGUACUAUAAGAAACAGAGACACUUAGAUAAACAGAUUUAGCACAUUAACAUAUUGAAAGAGAUUCUUAUUGGCAUAUCAGUUCAUCCAGAAUGACUAACUUUGGAUCAUCAAUAAUGGACACUGCAACACUGAGCGGGUGCCUCAUUCCUCCACUGUAACUCUCAGCUCUUACUUGCGAAGAGUCAAUUACUCUGAGAUCAUUCAGUUAUGACUUCUGAACUACCUGGUAUUUGAGCUAAAUAACACUUACAGGUAAGAAAGUUCAUAGUGUCUUUUUGACUAAUUAUUUUACGAAGAAUGCAAGUAACGAUCUAUAUGCUAUAGCAUGACAACCAUUGAAUAUUAGGUCAAUAACAACGCUGGUUCACAGAUAAAUAUUAAAAGUAACCAAAUGGAUUUGGAAUUACAUCAUCCAAGUAGAUAGCUAAAAUAAUCCCCAGGAAAAAGGUAGCCACCAGCCAUUUGUAGAUGUGAUUCUGCCAAGACCACGAGAAAUAAAAAAUUACAGAAAUAAUGAUAUAAUUGAACAAUUCAGAGAAAAUAAGAAUGAAACGAGAUGAUUCAGCAUUGUAAAGGAAGUCCUGGAUUCUAACCUCAAAUAUAAACAUUCAAGUUUCUAGGGGCAGCCUUAUAGAAGGAUUAGUUUAUCUUUACUGGCGUUGGGUUGGGUUUAAAGCUUGGAGAUAACAGGAACUUUUGUCUAAUCUAGGAACAUUGAUCUUUUGUCUAAUCCUAGGAACAAAAGUGAAUUCUGGACUUUUUGUUUUUAUUUCUUUCAUUGGAUGAUUACAUUUAUCCUGAGUUAUAAUUUUUAUAACUUUAGAAAUGGAUUAUAAAAUUAGAACUAAAUUUUAGACUUUUAAUUAUUAAAAAUUUUGGACCUCCAACCAAUUUUUGUGAUUGUAAUUACGAAGGUGGAUUCCGUUUUAAGUGGUCCACAAAUUCUGAUAUUAAUUAUAGUUAGGCACAAACUUUAAAUAGCAAAUCUCUUUACACCCAAAUUCGAAAAUCCCUACGACUGCUUAAUGAAAAUCCUAGAAACUUCUAGCUCUCCUAAAAAAGCUGAAGCCGCGCUAUUAAGCCCUCAUUUUCUUCCAAACCAAACAAAAAAAAAAAAAAAUAGAAACACCAAAUACUCUGAGCUUCAACUGCAGAAUGGCCGAUGAAUACGAAUGAAUGACGCAACUUUCCACAAACCUGAUAAAAUCUUAGAAUUCUUUAAAGUUAUCGCUCCAUUUUCUUUCUCUCAAAAUUGUAAACUCUUUUAAAAAAAAAAAAUGAAUGCAUGUUUAAAUUCAAAUGUCUAAUGCGAUAUUUGGAUCAUAUUAUUGGCAAGUUUUAUAUUUUUGUCCAAUCAUUUCCUUGGGUUUUUUCUUAACAUAUUCUUUGAAAAAGGAAUAUAAAUCGACACCUCUGAUUUAACGUUAAAACUCUUGUUAGUUUUAAUCUUUUAAAUAUCACCCUACAAAGAAGCUACUCAAGUUGCAUUUCAUUUGAAACAAAAGUGGCAAACAGUACUAAUUCAUCGAACUUAGCAUCUGUUGAACACCUAUUUUCUUUGUUGCUAUUGCAUUUGCUAAAUUAAAAGGUAUUCCACAUUUGCAAGGAUUUGAUAUGAUUUUCAAGUAUUUAUAAAUGAAUGAAGACGCGUUCAAGAAACGUUUAGAAAUAAAUAAACAUGCAUGUCUGACUUUAUAUAUGAAACGUAAAACACUUGAAAUUAUUUUUUACAGUCACGUAAUAAAAUUGAACCAAACUUUUAACGUCCAUCAAGAAUGUUUGUUAGCAGUUACAUUACUGAUAUUGAGACUCUAGGGACUACCUACCUUAGAGGUUUGGUUGUUUUUAUGACACAACUACUACUUCACUAACAACUGUUAACAUACAGAGGAAAAGAGGUAACACCUUAUUUUCCAAUAUUAAAAUCUAUUAUGACCUCAAACAAACAAUUAAAGUUGAAUUUUUUUUUUUUUGAGAUUUAAACAAUAAACUUUCCCUCUUUCAACACACAAUGAGUGCAACCAAUGUCCAAGACAAUAUUAAUCGUCGGAAAUAAUAUUGGUCAAUAAGAUAUUAUAAAUUAUUUUAUAUUUUAUAUAGUUCGUAUUUGGAUAUAAAAAAAUAUACUAUUAAUUGAAUUAAAUAUGUAAAUUUUACUUGAUAAAUUAUUUUAUUAAAAAAUUUUAGAAUGGUUACAAAAGAGAGCUUUAUAUUAUUUUUAAGUUUUACUUCAAAAUAAUAUGAUCGUAUUACGUAUUAAUCUCGGGGCAUAACAUAUUCCUAUAGCAUUUUCUAAAUGCUUCCUUCCAACUAGUUAAAUGGAUCUUACUCUUUUGAUACAAAAACAAUAAACAGAAUUCUUUAUUUGAAACACUCAUACCAGCAUUUAUUCACUACAUUCAUUCUAGCAAAACCAAAUCUUUAUCAGUUGACUGGUGCCGUUUCGCUAUUGAUAAUCACCUCUGCCCCUGGAAGGGCAUUAUAAUAAUUUUGAUAAAUUAUUAUAAAAGGAUAUUUUUGUAAUUAUGGUUGUAAGGGUAUCAAAGUAAUUUUGAUUUAGUAUUGUUAGAAGGAUAUUUUAAUAAUUAUGUCAAAAGGGGUAUUAUAGUAAGUUUAGUUCAUUAUAGAAAAAAGGUUACCACAAUCAAUUUAAAUACUUGUAAUUAAAUUGUCAAAUAAUCAAAAAAAAUAUUAUGAUCAUUUCUUAAAAAAAUUAAGUUCGCAAGUGAUAUUAGCAAUGAUUAAUUUUAAUUAAAAAUAUUAUAUUAUAAAUUAAAAAAAUAAAUUAUGAUGCGAAGCCAUCACAUUCAUUAAUAUAAUUUUCUUAAAAUAUAUCAAAUUAAAAAAAUCAUAUAUUUUUAAUAUUAAUAUUAAGCUAUUCAUAUUUAAAAAGUUAAAAUAUUAAAAAAUUUUAAUAGGAAAAAAUUAUAAAAAAACCAUAAAAUGACUUAACAUGUAUAUCAUUGAUAUAAAACGAGUCUCACAAAAAAAUUUUAAUAAAAAAUUAUUGAUCAAUUAUGUAAAAAAUAAAAAAGAAAAAGUUAAAAAAAUAAACAUAUUUUAUAUUUUUUAUAGCAAAUGAGUUUUAAAAUAAAAUUAAAACAAAAAUAUAAAUUUUAUUUGAAAAAUUAAAAAUAAAAGAAGAAGUAAAAAAAGUUUGGAAUAAGUGAGUCCAACAAAAAUUUUUUCAAAAUAUAUAUUUUUUAAAAUAUGAAAUAUAAUAAAAAAAUUUUUAAAAUAGGUGAAGAAAAAAACCAAAAAUAAAUUUAAAAAAUAUGAAACAAAAAUUGGCUGAAAAAAAAUCGGGUUUCACACCUUUAAAAACAUAAAAGGAUGUGGGCUCCACACCAAUUUUAAAAAAUUUUAAAAAAAACUGGGCCCAUCAUAAGAAAAAAAAAAAAAAAAAAAAAAGCAAGAGGGGAAACUGACACGGAGAAUACUUAGUAAAAGCAUAACUGUAGCAUUUAGAACUAGAAAAACUAACCACGCCCAAGUUACAAAUUUUUUAUUUUGACGAAAUAUAAAUUAAUUAAUUUUUUAUUUACUAAUAAAAAAUAAAUAUUUUUUAGUAUUUUUUUCGCUGUUUUUAGAAUUAUAGUAAAAGAGAUAUCAUAUGAAGCAAUCAAAAAAAUAAUUUUUAUAGUCAUGGUUAUAAUCAAAAAAUAAUUAAAAAGUAUUUUAAUAAUUUAAAUCGAUUAUAAUAUGAAAAAUAUUUUUAUAAUUAUGAUAAGAUGGUAUUUUCAUAAUUAUGAUUAGAAAGUAUUAAAGUAAUUUUGACAAAUCAUAAUAUGAAAUUUAUUUUUGUAAUUAUGAUAGAAGGAUAUUUUCAUAAUUAUGGUUAUAAUGACAUUAGAGUAACAUUGGUUAAUUAUGAUAAGAAGGGUAUUUCCAUAAUUAUGUUAAGAGGGUUUAAGAUUUUGAGUUUACGGUUUUAUUUAAUUAUGCUUACAAAGUAUUAUAGUAAUUUUCACCAAUUAUAAUAUGAGAGUCUAUUUUCGUAAUUAUAAGUGGAGAAACAUUAUAUGAAGCAAUAAAAAAUAGGUUUUUUGCAAUUAUGAUUAAAGAGUACUAUAAUUAUUUUAGUUAAUUAUAAUAUGAGUAGUAUUUUUUGUAAUUUUGUUGAGAAAGCAUUUUUUUUAAUUAUGAUUAAAUGGUAUUAUAGUAAUUUUGGUAAAUUAUAAUAUAAGAUAUAUUUUCAUAAAUAUGAUAGGAAGAACAUUAUAGUCAUUUUAGCAAGUGAUGAUAAGAGGAUAUUUUCAUAAUUAUAGUUGUAAAGGCAUCUGUAAUACUUUAGCCCAAAUGAUAAUUGGGCUAAACUACUACUAAAGCCCAUUAAAUUAAUUAAAAGGUUAAUUAUUAAAGAUAAAGUGACUGAAGUGUUUUACUAGAGAAAAAUCUUGUUAUCGUGAAACAGAAAAGCUAAUGGAAAUUCUUUUUCCUAAUCUUUCUUAAGAUUAGAGAGCAUGAAAAAUUAAGUACAUGAUCCAAAAUUGAAGACUACAAUUGAGUUAAUCUCUUAAUGGUGAACAUAUGCCUUCUUUUUAUUUAAGAAAAAUAUACCAUUUUGGUUGCUAUUUUAUGGAGUUACAGUUUUGAGAGAAAAAUCAAGAAAAUUAUGAAAUCUUUCAUUAAUCUUCAUAAUCUAUUUAGGUAAAUUAUUGGGCUUUGUUUUAUUUCAUGUUCUUAAGAUUUAUUGAUGAUUAUUGAAUGGAGUUUAAAAACUGAAAAUAGGGAUUUGAUUUUUUAAAAAUUGAAAGAGAAAUUUUGUUUUUGAAUGAGAUGUUAUGAUUUAUAAUAGUGAAUAAAAUAAAAUUUUGUAUUAAUGGAUAGACUAUUGCUAUGAUUAUUAUAUAUCAUUAAAAAGCGUAUUGAAUCUAUUUUCUAAUGAAAUAAACGGAAGUCAAAUCCGAGUUUUUUAUAAAGAGUUGUCUAAUUUUUAUUUAAGAUAUACAAGCUAUAUGAUGGCAUCAUCAGGGUUAAAUUACGAAAAUUGUCUUAAAUUUUAUACAAAGAAUUAGGAAUUGAGCUAUAUAUGUUUGAAAAGAUUAUUAAGUCUAAUUUCUAACAAAAUAAAUGGAAUUGAAUUUAGAGUCUCUUAUGAAUAUAUAUGUAAUUUUUAUUAGAAGGUAUACAUAUUAUCUUGAAGCAGCAUAUAAUGUGGAUUGCAAAAUUUAUUAUAAUUAAUCUAUAAAGAAUUACGAGGUGAGCCAUAUAUGGUUAGAAAUCUUAUCAAGUCUAGUUUUCUAACGCAUUAAAGAGAUCUUAAUUUUGAUUUGGAUAUAUUAAAAUAUGGCCAUUUUAAUGAAAAAAAGGUCCAGCUAUUAAUACUAGUUAAUUGAGUUAAUUCUUGAAUAACUUAAUUGUUUUCUGUAUCAUUGGUUUCGAAAUGGGUUGAUUAAUUUCUAUUAUGUUGAAAUUAUCUUGAAUAAGCCAUUAAUUAUUUUGAAAAAAAAAACUAAGUAGUGGAAUCAAAAGAAGGUAAGUAGAAUCUUACACAUUUUGCUUGUUUUUUGAACCUAUGUAUAUAUGUAUAUUUCUAAAUGAGUAUAUGUUUUAUUUUAUUUUUUUUAUAUAUGAAAAUAAGACCAAGGAUAUGAUUAUUUUGUGUUUUUGCUAUAUAAAUGAUGGGUCAUGCUUAUGAAUGAAAUGAAAAAAAUGAUUUAUGUUUUAAAAAAUGAUUUUAUGAUAGUUACGUUUUUACAUUCAUGAGAAGUGAGAUCAUCGAUACCAAAACUACUUUAACGGCCUUAGUUAAUAGGUAAUAAUAGUUAGCAUAGACAUGAUCAUACGACCCUGCUAACUGGUUAUAGUAGUUAGCGUAAGGCCUUAGCUAGCGGGUUAUAAUAGUUAAUAAUGAUCAUAAGAAUGAAAUUAUCGAUACUGCCAAUAUCACGAGUAAUAGCAGUAAUCAUAGCUAACGAUAAAUUAACGAUGAACUAAUGAUUUAUGAUAAUGAUGGUUUAUGAUGAUUUUAAUGAUUGAUUCAUGAUUUGAUUUAAUUAUGAUAUUUGAAUGGUAGCAUGUUUUGUAAUGAUUUAUUAAUUAACAUGUUUUGAUAUUUAUUUAUGAUUUAUGAAAUGUUUGACAUAAUGAUGAUUUUAAAAAUAUUUUAAUAUUAUGAUUUAACGAAUGUUUUGAAUGAUUUAUAUAAUUUGUAUGAAAAAGAUACUUGAUCUGAUAAGGGGUGUGACUCUAUAUUUGUUGAGUUGUAAUUUGCUCAUUCUCUUUUUAUUUUUUUUACAGAUGAGUAAGUGAUAAAUAUGAUUAGUCUUGUGAAAAGCUAAAAAAUGAAAUGAAAAAGAUUACUUAGCCAUCAAAGACAAUGCUUGCCAAUGAGAUCUUAUUAAAUAGUUUUGUAUUUUUAUACAUUUUGUAUUUUGGUAUAUAAAGAUGUAUCAUUAGUUAAAUUAAAUAUAUGAAUUUUACUUGACAGAUUAUAUUAGUUUAUUGAAAAAAAAAAGAUUUCAUAUUAUUUUGAGGUUUUACUUCAAGAUAAUAUGACUAUAUUAUAUCUUAAUCUCGGGACGUGACAAUAUCAUAAUAAUUUUGCUUAAUUAUGGUAAAAAGAGAAUUUUAAUAAUUAUGUCAAAAGAGGUAUUAUAAUAAAUUUUGUUAAUUAUAGAAAGAAAUAUAUCACAAUCAAUUUAAAUGUAAGUAAUAUAACAGUCAAAUAAUUAAAAAGAUAUAAUGAUCAUUUCAAAGGAAAUUGAGUUCGUACCUAACAUGAACAACGUUGAGUUUUUAUAAAACAUUUAUAUUAUGAAUUAAAAAAUAUAAAAAAUCAAAUUCGUUUCGAAGCCAACCCAUCCAUUAAUAUAAUUUUCUUAAAAUAUGAUUAAAAUAAAUAAAUAUUCUUUUAAUAAUAAUAUCAAUGAUCCAUAUUAAAAAGUUAAAAUAUUAAAAAAAUAAUUAAAAAUAAAAAAAAUAAAAUGACUACACAUGUUUUAUAUUAUUGAUAUAAGGUGAGCUCACAAAAAAAUUUAAAAUAAAAAAUUAUUUAUCAAUUAAGUAGAAAAUAAAAAAUUAAAAAAUAAAAAAAAACAUGUUGUGUAUUUCUAAUAACAAAUGAGUUUUAAAAUAAAAUUAAAAUGAAAAAAUAAAUUUUGUUUGAAAAAAAUUAAAAAAGGAAAAGUUUUUAAAAAAUAAUACAAGUCACUCACAUAAAAAUGUUUUUUAAAAAAUAUAUUUUUAAAAUAUCGUAAAUAAUAAAAAAUAAAAAAAUUUUAAAAAAAUGGGUGAAAAAAUCAAAAGAUAAAUUUAAAAAAUAUCGAUCCUAUACCUUUUUAAAAAUAAAAUUAAAAAGAGGGCCACCAAUUGAAAAACAAAAAAACAAUGGUUAAAAAAUCGAGUCCCACACCUGCAAAAACCAAAAAAAAGAUGUCGGCUCCACACCCAUUUAAAAAAGUUCAAAAAAAAAAAAAAAAAGGUGAGGAUUACGAUAAGAAAGAAGAAAAAAUGAAAUGACACGUGAAAUGCACAGUACAAAUAAAAUUGCAGCAUUUUUACGUUAGCAGCAGGAUGGAAUAAAUGGAAAAUAAAUUCUGAUACCCUACAGGAUGAGAAUGAGAUGAUCCCUCUUAUGAGUUCUUACAAGAUAAAAAGAAAUAAUUUAUUUCUCUUGAAUUUGUAUAUAAAUUUUUUCCAUGAUAUACACAUCAGAAUGUUUUCAAUCUUGGGAAAUUACUUAAACACUUCUCAAAUCUUCUUUCCAUUUUUUUUUUAAUCCAAAGAAGCAGAGCAACCAAGGUAGGCAAUAUUGCCUCAAGCGCUUGCAAACAAAAACUAAUCUUGGCUUUAGAUCCCUGUACAACUAAGAUUUUUUUUUGGCUUAAAUUUUUGUUUUCAAGAAAUUAGAAUUUAGUUUUAUUAAUUUAUGUAAUUAUUUUUAAAAAAUAAUGCUCAAUAAUUUAAAAUUUAAAUCUUAAUUCUUAUAAAUUUUAUUUUAUCAUAAAUUCAUGUUUUGAAAAGCAUCAUGUGGAUACUAUUGUGACUGCUAUGUGAUUAUGUGACAUACGCAACAUGUGAAAUUUUACUGAAAAGCAACAUGUUUAAGUCAUUGUAAUUAAUACGUCAUUUGUAUUUUUUUAAAUCCAUUUUGAAGUCAAACUUAUCUUCAAGGAAAGUGGUAUUUCAAUACUCAAGAGAAAGUCUUUGCAGAACUCCAUCCGGCACCGGAGAAAAUGGCAUCUGAAACCUCAGUGGAUUAUGACAGAACUAAAGAGUUGAAGGAAUUUGAUGACACAAAAGCUGGUGUUAAAGGACUUGUAGAUGCUGGCAUAGUUAGCAUCCCCAGGAUGUUCAUACGACCAGCUGAGGAGC
rnacentral:lncRNA from 1 species